rnacentral:rRNA from 1 species
UACGAAGGGAGCUAGCGUUGUUCGGAAUCACUGGGCGUAAAGCGCACGUAGGCGGUUUUUUAAGUCAGGGGUGAAAUCCUGGAGCUCAACUCCAGAACUGCCUUUGAUACUGGGAAGCUCGAGUCCGGGAGAGGUGAGUGGAACUCCGAGUGUAGAGGUGAAAUUCGUAGAUAUUCGGAAGAACACCAGUGGCGAAGGCGGCUCACUGGCCCGGUACUGACGCUGAGGUGCGAAAGCGUGGGGAGCAAACAGG